GACGAUGAUGAGAGGAAUGUUCUGACUUGGUAGUGCCUCCAUUGGAAGGCCCUGAUCAAGGUGUGAUUAGACAUAAUCUUCUCUCUGAGUCU